GACGAAGGGGGCUAGCGUUGUUCGGAAUUACUGGGCGUAAAGCGAGUGUAGGCGGUUGCCCAAGUCAGGUGUGAAAGCCUUGAGCUCAACUCAAGAAAUGCACUUGGUACUGGGUGGCUAGAGGACCGGGGAGGAUAGUGGAAUUCCCAGUGUAGUGGUGAAAUACGUAGAGAUUGGGAAGAACACCAGUGGCGAAGGCGGCUAUCUGGACGGUUACUGACGCUAAGACUCGAAAGCGUGGGGAGCAAACAGG
rnacentral:rRNA from 1 species